AUUUUUAUUUUUUUUUAUAUUUAUUUUGCUUCUUAGGGCCCCAUCCACAGCAUAUGGAGGUUCCCAGGCUAGGGGUCCAAUCGGAGCCACAGCUGCCGGCCUACACCACAGCCACAGCAAUGCAGGAUCCAAGCCGUGUCUGCGACCUACACCACAGCUCAUGGCAACACCAGAUCCUUAAUCUACUGAGUGAGGCCUGGGAUCAAACCUGCAACCUCAUGGUUCCUAGUCAGAUUCAUUUCCGCUAUGCCACAACGGGAAUAGAAGGGGGGGGGGGAGAGGAGGGGAGGGGAGAGGGAGGAGAGGAGAGGAGAGGAGAGGAAGGAAGGAAAGGAAAGGAAAGGAAGGAAGGAAGGAAAGGGAGAGAAAGAAAGAGAGAGAGAAAGAGAGAGAGAGAAAGAAAGAGAGAGAGAGAGAGAAAGAAGAAAGAGAGAAGGAAGGAAGGAAGGAAAGAAAGAGAAGGAAGGAAGGAAGAGAAGAAGAAAGAAAGGAAGAAAGAAAGAGAGAGAGAAAGAGAAGAGAGAGAGAAAGAAGAAAGAGAAGAGAGAAAGAAAGAGAGAGAGAAGAAAGGAAGAAGAAGAAAGAGAGAGAAAGAAAGGAAGAGAAAGAAAGAAAGAGAAGAGGAGAGGAAAGAAAGAAAGAGAAGAAAGAAAGAGAAAGAAAGAAGAGAGAAAGAAAGAAGAAGAAAGAGAGAAAGCAAAGAAGAAGAAGGAAAGAAGAAAAGAAGGAAGAAAGAAAGAGAGGAGAGAAAGAAAGAAAGAAGAAGAAGAAAGAAGGAGAAGAAGAAGAAGAAGGAGAGAGAAAGAAAGAGAGAGAGAAGAGAGAGAAAGAAAGAGAGAGAGAGAAAGAAAGAAAGAGAGAAGGAAGGAAGGAAGGAAAGAAAGAAACGAAGGAAGGAAGGAAGGAAGGAAGGAAAGAAAGAAAGAAAGAAAGAAAGAAAGAAAAAGAAAGGGAGAGAAAGAAAGAAAGAGAGAGAGAGAGAAAGACAGAAAGACAGAAAGACAGAAAGACAGAAAGAAAGAAAGAAAGAAAGAAAGAAAGAAAGAAAGAAAGAAUUUGUUGCUUCCAAAGAAGGUAACGAGGUAGUGGAGAGAUUUUUUUAACAUAUACCGUUGUGCGCUUUUUCCAUUUUUUAC
rnacentral:lncRNA from 1 species